rnacentral:rRNA from 1 species
UGCCAGCCGCCGCGGUAAUACAGAGGGUGCAAACGUUGUUCGGAAUCACUGGGCAUAAAGCGCACGUAGGCGGCCUUGUAAGUGUGGAGUGAAAUCCCACGGCUCAACCGUAGAACUGCCAUUGAUACUGUUAUUCUUGAAUAUAGUUGAGGUAGGCGGAAUGUGUAAUGUAGCGGUGAAAUGCUUAGAUAUUACACAGAACACCGAUUGCGAAGGCAGCUUGCUAAACUAUGAUUGACGCUGAUGCACGAAAGCGUGGGGAGCGAACAGGAUUAGAUA